UGUGCAGCUUUCCCUCUCUGUGCAGCGCCUCUUCAUUGCUGAAGAGGCGCUGUGCAGAGAGGGAAAGCUGCGCA